CAGUAACCCCCUCCCCAACUCUUGCGUUACCAACCCUAACCCACUCCAAAUCUCCAACGGCGCAGCACACGCUCCCUCGUCCCUCCCAUCACCGUAGAGCUAGCCGUUCCUCUCAACGCCGGCGAGCUCAGUCCCUCCCUUUCGCGCUGCCACGGUCCCGCCGGCGCUAGCUCUAUUUCACCGCAGCCACUGUCCCGUUCGAAGGUGCUCCUUCUCUCGGUGUCUCCUUCUUUCGUGUUCUGUUCAAGGCUUCUAGCUUCGAAGGUGCUCUCUUUCGCCGCCGUCGCGCUCACAUAGAGGAAGAAUCAUCGCAAGUGCCGCCGUUUCCUCCUCCUCUCGGUCAAGCCGUCAUCCACUUCUCUGCUGCGCCGCUGUCUACUUCUCAAUCCUCCUCCUUCCCCUGUCCCAAAUCCAUGCGGCCAGACCUUCUCUUCUAGGCUUUCUAGCUCGGCACGUCGUCCUGUCUUCGUCGGUGACUUCGGUGUUCAAGGCUUCCAGCUGCUGCGCCGUCGAGUUGCCGUCGUCGUCCUGCUGUCGGUGGAAGGUUUAGUGUGAUUAUUGGUUAAUGUUUUGUAAUGUUUGGUGCUGAAGGCUGAUUGUUGAGUUCAGAUAUAGUUGUUUAUUUUGACUUGGGUAAAGAGAUUUAUGGUCAUUUUUUCCUGCCUUGUACCAAUUCAGAUGAUUAUUUUCAGAGGAUGAGCACUUAUUUAUGUAUCUUGAGAAACUGUUUCUGUUUGUUAUGAGCACUUAGUUUCACCAAGAAAUCUUAGUUUGUUAUGAGCACUUAGUUUCACCAAGAAAGCUUAGUUUCGCCAAAUGGUCCUCAAAGCAACUCAUCCAAAAUGCUGCUGCACAAAUCCAAGUCUAUUGUCUCUCAAAGCCUGCAUGCUCUUUCAUUUGGUGAAGUCUUUCUAGCAGUAGUCCACUGCCAACUUUGUUAUUAAUAAUGUUAUCAAAUUUGUUUAUCCAAGUACUAUGUUUAUUUUUU